rfam:Oryza nivara chromosome 6, whole genome shotgun sequence.
AAAGACUUAAUUCUUUGGUUUCUGUGUUCAAUGUUUGACCGUCCGUCUUAUAUAAAUUUUUUUAUGACUAGUAUUUUUAUUAUUGAUAGAUGAUAAAAUAUGAAUAAUAUUUUAUGCAUGAUUUAUCUUUUUAAUUUUUUUUAUAUUUUUUUAAAUAAGACGGACGGUCAAACGUUAAACACAGAAAUUCAGGAAUUGAUUUUUA